rnacentral:rRNA from 1 species
UACGGAGGGUGCAAGCGUUAUCCGGAUUCACUGGGUUUAAAGGGUGCGUAGGCGGAUUGGUAAGUCCGUGGUGAAAUCCCCGAGCUUAACUUGGGAACUGCCGUGGAUACUAUCAGUCUUGAAUAUCGUGGAGGUAAGCGGAAUAUGUCAUGUAGCGGUGAAAAUGCUUAGAUAUGACAUAGAACACCAAUUGCGUAGGCAGCUUACUACUCGAUCAUUGACGCUGAGGCACGAAAGCGUGGGGAGCAAACAGG